rnacentral:rRNA from 1 species
AUUGAACGCUGGCGGCAGGCUUAACACAUGCAAGUCGAGCGAGCGGCGGACGGGUGAGUAAUGUCUGGGCAACUGCCUGAUGGAGGGGGAUAACUACUGGAAACGGUAGCUAAUACCGCAUACCCUCAGAUGUGCCCAUAUGGGAUUAGCUCGUAGGGGGGGUAAUGGAUCACCUAGGCGACGAUCCCUCGCUGGUCUGAGAGGAUGACCAGCCACACUGGAACUGAGACACGGUCCAGAAUCCUACGGUAGGCAGCAGUGGGGAAUAUUGGAAAAUGGGCGCAAGCCUGAGGCAGCCAUGCCGCGUGUGUGAAGAAGGCCUUCGGGUGGUAAAGCACGUUCAGCGAGGAGGCGUUACUCGGAGAAGAAGCACCGGCUAACUCCGUGCCAGCAGCCGCGGUAAUAC